rnacentral:lncRNA from 1 species
UGUUCGUUUCGUCUCCGCUACUUCGUCUACUAGAUGAAUGGACCUUGCGUUCUGAGAAGUGUCUAAAGAGUCUCUAAUAAUGUUCACAUUUUUAUGGUGAUAAAAUAUACCUAAAUAUUCGAAGAAAGAAAAAAGAUCAUAAAUAUAAUAAUUCUGGCAUAUAAAGGAAGGUAUGGAUAUGGGGAAAAUUCUAAAAAUUGAAAUUUAUUAUUGUGCUGAAAUAGUCAUAUGCAUGAGUGUUUUUAAAUUUUGAUUGGACCCUUUAAAAUAAAAUCAAUUGCACAUUUAUGUAUUGAAAGGACACAAAAUUAAAAACUUACAUGACUAUUUCAACAAUCAAUAUGCGGCAUCAUCAUCUCAUCACCAGAAUGCACGAGGGCAAGGAAAAGGCAUGCGUCACAUCACAAUCAGCUUCUGCAGUGCGGAAAGGAGUCGCAGGACAAUGCUGAGAGGCUGCUGUCAGGACGGACAAAAGCGCUUAUCUUUUUGCAUACGCUAUAUAUGUAACAGCCUGGUUUGCCAUGUCUCGCCCGUGCUGCGCAUCCAAGAAUAUAGCGGGAACAUACGCUAAAUGCGAGCUUUCUGCUUCAAAGGACAUAACCGAAAGUUAUCAAUGAUAACUGUGAUAUCAAAGCAAAUAUAAUACACCACUGUGUGUCAAAAUAAAAGGAAAAUACGUUAUAAGUAAGCUAAAAUUGAA